GACGAACGCUGGCGGCGUGCUUAACACAUGCAAGUCGAACGAAGUGGCGAACGGGUGAGUACUACGUGGGUACCCUGCCCUCCUUUUUGGGAUAAGCCUUGGAAACGUGGUCUCAUACCGCAUAAAGGUGGAUGGGCUCGCGGCCUAUCAUCUUGUUGGUGGGGUGCUGGCCUACCAAGGCGGUGACGGGUAGCCGGCCUGUGAGGGGGACUGGCCACAUGGGGACGGAGAUACGGCCCAGACGCCUACGGGAGGGAGCAGUGGGGGAUAUUGCACAAUGGGCGAAAGCCUGAUGCAGGGACGCCGCGUGGGGGAUGAAGGCUUGCGGGUGGUAAACUUCGGUCGCUAUUGAACGGGUAGGUGGAGAAGAAGCGCCGGCUAACUACGUGCCAGCAGCCGCGGUAAUAC
rnacentral:rRNA from 1 species